AGGAGGCAGCAAUUCACUCGA
rnacentral:snRNA from 1 species